GGCAAACGCAUCUCUGCUGUCCUCUGACCUCUCCUCUCCUCCUCCUCUCCGGACACGGCAAAGCUUCCUUCCCAAAAUCCCCAAAUCGAAGCGAAGCCGAGGAAACUCUCUCCCGCACGACCCAACAGCCCCCGUCCCCGCCGAGACCCGCCGCCCGUCUCACCCGCCCGCCCGCCCGACCGACCGCCAGGUUUCGGUUCGCCCGCUAGCCGAGGCAUCGGGGCGGAUUGGAUCGGCGAUGGACUGGAGCGCGGUGACGGCGGAGGACCUGGUGGCCGCGCUGCGGGAGGUGGACUGGUCCACGCCGCCGCGCCCCGUCCCGGAGUUCUUCUCCCGCUUCACCGUCCCCCGCUCCUACUCCAAGUGGACCAGCCGCCUCAAGUGCAACCUCUACUACUACAGGACAAACUAUUUCAUCUUGAUCAUGUUCAUUCUUGGGUUGGGUUUCCUUUGGAAGCCAGUUGCUAUUCUUGCAGCUUUUAUGACUGGAUUCAGCAUUGCUUUUCUUAAUGACAGUUUUGCUGUCACUUUUAAUGAGAAAGUCACAAGAACUGUCAGGCAGUUCUCACCACAUUUAGCUGCAAAGAUGAGACCACCGAUAACCCCUGUUAUUCGUGGUCGACCAAGCUCAAAGAGAUCAAUUCAUAUUUGUGGGCGGCCUCGCUGGUUGUUUGUCCUUUUAUUUUCGGCAGUUAGCUGCAUGCUCUGGUUGACCUCAUGCAGCCUCCUCACAGUUCUAUGGGCUCUUCUCAUUGCUCUGCUUAGUAAGGACGGUGUAGAGUUGUUUAUUUAUUUUUUGGAGAUCUGUAUUUAUCUUGGAAUGUCCUUAUUAGUUUGUCUUUCUGUUGGCAGCAACGGUACUUCAUGCCAGCUUCAGAACACCUAAUUUGAAAGCACGUCUGAAUACGUUCAGAGAGGAAUUCCGAGCAGUUUGGCGGAAUUAUAGUGAGCUCUAGAGCUCCCUCGGUUUCAAGGUGAUAAGAUGUGCUUAGUGCUGAAGCUUCCCUGCUGUCUGUGCAUUGUGUCUGUGGGAGAUGAACAAAGGUGAUAUGCAGUUGUGAUUACUGGCUCAUUUGGAGGUGGACCUAGACUGACUCUCUGGGUGAUGCUACGCCUCGGUCCGCGGUCCUCCUAAUCACAGUAGUUUUUUCCUUUGGACUUCUCCCUAUAACCAACGCUUUGGAGGAAGAACAGCAUGUAAAGGAUGUAAACAAAGUAUUCAGAUCUAGACAAAAAGCAUAUGUUGUUUGUUGAUACGCCUGCUUCAUGCUCUGUCUAUACUUCAAAAAACCGUUGUGGAUAUAUUUUCCGCUAAGCUUCGAUUUA